GGAUUUAUCGGCUCUAUUUGGGUUCUCUGAUAAAAUUUCGGAUGUUCACAACCAUUGACAUUGACGAGUGCCGGAGACGCCGGCGCCGACGCCGGCGCCGCACUUCGCCGGUCGGCGACGGCGUCGGCGUUCGGAGCGUAUCGCCACACGCACCAGAGCCGGUCAUCUCUGCUUUGCGGAAAGUGAACCAUGGAUGCAAUUAUUUGGAGGUUGAGAAACUUAUUGCACUUAUUGUCCUUUGCUGACCCUAUUUUCCAUGGGCAAGAGGUAACAGGUAACUGCUGCAUUGUAUUGUUCAAAUCAUCUUUUUUGUAGUUUGUUAAGAAUGCUAGUCUAAAGUUUUUUAGAUUGGUCUGAGCACUUUAUUGAUGGUUUUCUUUACUGCUUAAACUUUUAUGAAUUUAUUGCUCGAAAGUAGGCCGGUAUUCUGCCUACGUGGCGGCAGAGGCCGAGGUGAGCUAAGUUACACUCGAGAUCUGUGGGAGCUAUGUUUGUACACUUUAAUAAAUUGGUUGCUUCUUUUCGAACAUUUUAGACUUUUGAAAUUAUGGGUGGCGCUAAUGAUCCAACAAAUAGUACCAGAAUAGAUCACGGGUUCGAUUCUCGCGUGCUGCAAUUUGUGCAGGGGGGGAAUUGUUGGCAACGAGGCCCGAAGGCAUUGUGUCUGUAUAUUUUUAAGUCAAUUUGUCGGCCCCUUUCUAACAGCUCGAGUUUUUGAACUUGUGGCUAGCACCAAUGAUCCAACGCAUGUAAGUUUACAUUGAACUUUCGAGUCCUUUGUAAAGCUAGUUAAUUGCAAUAUGUGUUAACACUUUCUGACUUUA